rnacentral:ncRNA from 1 species
AUUUGGUUCACGUAAUGUGAUUAAAAGGGAACAGAGUGAGAAUCUCUGACAGUCCCGCUGCUGUAGAUUGCCUUUAUACAGCCGGAAUACAAAAUGUCACUGACAGCAAUGUUCGGGAAGACAUUCCGGUUUGGCAAAAGUCAGAAGACCUGCCGAUGUGAU